ensembl:lncRNA
GGGUUGGGGCAUUAUGGGAUUAUGGGGUGGGAUUAUGGGAAUAUGGGGUGGGAUUAUGGGGUGGGAUUAUGGGAUUACGGGGCGGCAUUAUAGGAUUAUGGGAUCACAGCUUUGGAACGCUGGGAUUAUGGGGUCGGGGUUGGGAUUAUGGGGCUGGGAUUGGGAUUAUGGGGCCGGGAUUGGGAUUAUGGGGUCGGGAUUGGGAUUAUGGGAUACAGGGGUGGGAUUGUGGUAUUAUGGGAUGGCAAUUCGCCUAUAAACUCCGCAUUUGAGUCCAUUUUUGUGCCCUGAGGCCCAUUUCCGUGACCCGGGAUUGGGAUUACGGGGUCGGGAUUAUGGGAUUAUGGGGUCGGGAUUGGGAUUAUGGGAUUACAGGGUGGGAUUAUGAUAUUAUGGGAUGGCAUUUCCUCUACGAGCUCCAGAUUUGAGUCCAUUUUUGUGCCCUGAGGCCGAUUUCUGUGGCCCGAAAGGGGGGAAACGAACCACGGGGUCGGGAUUAUGGGGUCGCGAUUGGGAUUAUGGGGUCGGGAUUGGGAUUAUGGGAUUACAGAAUGGGAUUGUGGUAUUAUGGGAUGGCAAUUCGCCUAUAAACUCCGCAUUUGAGUCCAUUUUUGUGCCCUGA